UCCACAUGAAGAUGACCUGCAGCAGACUCACCUCCAGCACCUUGUGAAGGGGACCUGUAACUGCUACAGUUGGCAGUGUCACUGCUAUUGAAUUUGGCCUUCAGGUCACACUUUGUUAAGCCUAAACAGAUCCCUGAUAAGCAGUAAGCAUCUGAUAAGCGUUUUAGCGAGCUAAGCUAACAAGCCAGGUACCGAGCUCAGACACCGACACCCGCUAAUUACUGCAAACACAGAACAAUAUUAUCAUUUAACUUACCGAAACAACAGGAGCACAAGCUUCCUGGACUUCUCUGUUGGGACGACUGACCGCAGAGCAGGCGUAUUAUUCAUCCGGUAGUAGGUUGAAAUGUUCUCCGCAAGGCUCCGACACAACGGUCGAGAAGUCCCGAUCAAUGACCAAACAGCGGCGUCACCUGUCACUCAAGCAUCCACGCCCCUAAUUAUGCAGAAUUUCAAACCUUAAUAUAAUAUAAAUGGGCGAGUUAUAAAAAAAUGGUGUCAUCAAACCCUACAGUGAGUAUCAGUACCCUAGCUGAUUCACAGCCGCCGCAGAGGAAGGACAACAGACCCAGGUCUGAUUUGCAACUUCUGUUUGCAACCGCCGAAAAGACGAGCUCCACAAAAAGAAAUCAAUAGGUUCACUGCUCUUAACUGUAGUGUUACCAAAAUCACACCAGUCAAAGAUGAACUUCCCAUGUUCACAAUACAGCUCUUAUUUUGGACAGAAAAUGCUUUCUGAUAAUUUUGGUGAAUUUUUAUUUGAUAUCAUUUUUAAAAACUUCACUACUGUACAUUGCAGAGUCACCAAAUCGGUUCACACAAAGAUCUACUUCUGUGGUCACAUGACAGCUUUUAUUUUGGGUAUUAAGCUUAUUUUAGGUUAAAAAUGGUGAGUCUAACUGGAACCAUUUUAUAAGGCAAUUUGAGAGUAAGUGGUCUCUGUAUACUAAAGAUACGGGACAAAUGUUUAUAUAAACAUUAAUUCUUGUAAUCACUUAUGUGACAACAGAAAAUAUUUUUAUACCCAAAACAUUUAGAAUAGCGUGCUUUGUACAUGAGAUCUUUGUGUUUUCUCUAUUUGAACAAACAAAAGGUUUUAACAAGUAUCGUAUUAUGUCAGGUCACAUUUGAAGACUAUGACGGAGCCAUUGGAUUUGUUAAUAUUAGAAAAUGCUCAAUGGAAGUUUGUGGGGAGAAUACAGCUACUUUCAGUUUUGUGUAUCUUGUCAAUUGUGGUUUUGAAGUUUUAUAUAUAUAAAUAAAAAUUAUUAUGUUGAUUUAGUUUCUGUUGCUGUUGCUGAUGUAUCUUAAGAUGGCAUUUUACUUUUUCAAACAGUAUCUUCAUGCCCUUUCAAACCACAUUUUUUUGUGGUUGAUCCUCUGCAAGGGUCAAAUGAAUUUGAGGACUCCAAACAGCCUGGCCACAGAUUUGGACAAUACUUCAAGAUGCGCCAGAACAGAUUUGGGAAGGAAGACUGGGUCGAUAUCAAGUUGCAGCCUGGAACCAUUACCCAUACCAAAAGGAUGACCCCAAUUGUGGGAUCUUUGUGAUCCAGAUGGCCAAGAUGACGGUGAUGGGAUUUCCAAAUAUACCACAGGUGUUUCACAUUGACCCAGAGUAGAGAUCUCUUCAAAAACUAAGAAGAGACAUGGCAGAAGAAAUUCUGAAAGGAUCAGGUACUGUUUAAAAUAUUUGAGUAAGGGGAAGAAAACAGUAAUGCUCUUUUUAAAUCUCUCAGUUUCAAGCGAUGAGUUCCGCUCCUCUGUCGUAAUAAGGACCUGCCUAAGGAUGCUGUUAAUGCAGUUUGGGUGAGCAUUAAUGUUUAAUUGUUUUGAAACAGUUAUAAAUGAUCUGAAUGGUGGAUUAUAUAUAGGCUGGAGUGAAUUUCAUGGAAAAAAUAUAUGUUAUCGGGUAGUGUGUACUUUAAUGCAUUGCAAAUUAAAAUUUUCUUAAUGUUAUUAAUAUUUGAUAAUUUUAUAUUCAUCCCCAUGUAGAUUCAGUGUGGAACCUGUACAUGAUGGUUUCACACGCAUUGCCUGGGAAUGACAGCAGCACAAAUAUCAAGCAAGGAUAACCCGUGCUAUUGUUUGCUGUGCAACUAAGGACACUGUUGGUACUGUAUGUUGGAUAACUAUAAUAUUAAUAAUAAUUUCAUUAAUAAAGCACUUUUCAUUGCUAAAAGCAAUCUCAAAGUGCUACAGAGUAGAAAUAAGACAAAAGAAAUAUUUAAAAAAUA